GAUGAACGCUGGCGGCGUGCCUAAUACAUGCAAGUCGAGCGAACGGACGAGAAGCUUGCUUCUCUGAUGUUAGCGGCGGACGGGUGAGUAACACGUGGAUAACCUACCUAUAAGACUGGGAUAACUUCGGGAAACCGGAGCUAAUACCGGAUAAUAUUUUGAACCGCAUGGUUCAAAAGUGAAAGACGGUCUUGCUGUCACUUAUAGAUGGAUCCGCGCUGCAUUAGCUAGUUGGUAAGGUAACGGCUUACCAAGGCAACGAUGCAUAGCCGACCUGAGAGGGUGAUCGCCCACACUGGAACUGAGACACGGUCCAGACUCCUACGGGAGGCAGCAGUAGGGAAUCGUCCGCAAUGGGCGAAAGCCUGACGGAGCAACGCCGCGUGAGUGAUGAAGGUCUUCGGAUCGUAAAACUCUGUUAUUAGGGAAGAACAUAUGUGUAAGUAACUGUGCACAUCUUGACGGUACCUAAUCAGAAAGCCACGGCUAACUACGUG
rnacentral:rRNA from 1 species